rnacentral:rRNA from 1 species
CGUAGGGUGCGAGCGUUAAUCGGAAUUACUGGGCGUUAAAGCGUGCGCAGGCGGUUUUGUAAGACAGGCGUGAAAUCCCCCGGGCUCAACCUGGGAACUGCGCUUGUGACUGCAAGGCUAGAGUACGGCAGAGGGGGUGGAAUUCCACGUGUAGCAGUGAAAUGCGUAGAGAUGUGGAGGAACACCAAUGGCGAAGGCAGCCCCCUGGGUCGAUACUGACGCUCAUGCACGAAAGCGUGGGUAGCAAACAGGAUUAGAUACCCGGGUAGUCCACGCCCUAAACGAUGUCAACUAGGUGUUGGGUGGGUAAAACCAUUUAGUACCGGAGCUAACGCGUGAAGUUGACCGCCUGGGGAGUACGGCCGCAAGGUUA